rnacentral:rRNA from 1 species
GACAGAGGUUGCAAACGUUGUUCGGAAUUACUGGGCGUAAAGCGUGCGCAGGCGGUUCGUUGUGUCGGCGGUGAAAGCCCCGGGCUUAACCUGGGAAUGGCCGUUGAAACUGGCGAACUGGAGUGUGGCAGAGGGGGGUGGAAUUCCGCGUGUAGCAGUGAAAUGCGUAGAGAUGCGGAGGAACACCGAUGGCGAAGGCAGCCCCCUGGGCUAACACUGACGCUCAGGCACGAAAGCGUGGGGAGCAAACAGG